rnacentral:rRNA from 1 species
CAAAAUGACUCUCGGCAACGGAUAUCUCGGCUCUCGCAUCGAUGAAGAACGUAGCGAAAUGCGAUACUUGGUGUGAAUUGCAGAAUCCCGUGAACCAUCGAGUCUUUGAACGCAAGUUGCGCCCAAAGCCAUUAGGCCGAGGGCACGCCUGCCUGGGCGUCGCA